UGUUCAUUCUUUUCUUCAAAUUUUAUUACUCUACUGGAGAUCAUUGCCAUGACCAAUCACCAUAAAGUGGUAUUCAAUCCAGCAAGAUUGAGGCUUGCUUACUAUUCAUUUCUUGGGUUCUGGCAGUGAGUAUUCCAUGCAGCUGAAUGCUUCUCGCAUUAAAGUUCUUCAAGCUCAAGAUGAUGGGGUAAAUUCCAUUAAAGAAGCAGCAGCUAAGGACCUUCUGAAUGUUAGUCGUGAUCAACAUGUGUACAAUAAACUUUUGAAGGAUCUCAUCGUUCAGAGUUUGCUGAGAUUGAGAGAGCCUUCUGUAUUACUUCGCUGUCGGAAGGAUGAUGUGCAUCUGGUGGAGUCUGUGUUGGAUUCAGCAAAGGAGGAGUAUCCACAAAAGGCAAAUGUUCAUCCACCAGAUGUUAUAGUUGACCAUCAUGUGUACCUUCCUCCACCUCCUUCUCACCAUAAUGCCCAUGGUUCUUUCUGAUCCGCAAGUGGCUCUUUGGUCAGGUUGCCGUGUGAUUCGUUGGACCAUGAUGGUCUCUGUCGUAUUUCGAGCUUAGGGAUUGGAAUAUACUGCCGUAUUUCGCAGUAUUACUGUUAUCUUCGAACGUGUUCUUUGCUGUUGUCAAUGUCAUGUCAUGUGUAUGGAAUUGGAGGCGGGGAAAACACAUUCUUCUUGUCAUUCGUAUGACGAUUGUUUAUUUAAUAAAUUCCAGCAGCUGGUUAUUAUGAGAA